AUUGAACGCUGGCGGCAUGCUUUACACAUGCAAGUCGAACGGUAACAGGCCGCAAGGUGCUGACGAGUGGCGAACGGGUGAGUAAUGCAUCGGAACGUGCCCAGUCGUGGGGGAUAACGCAGCGAAAGCUGCGCUAAUACCGCAUACGAUCUAUGGAUGAAAGCGGGGGACCGUAAGGCCUCGCGCGAUUGGAGCGGCCGAUGUCAGAUUAGGUAGUUGGUGGGGUAAAGGCUCACCAAGCCAACGAUCUGUAGCUGGUCUGAGAGGACGACCAGCCACACUGGGACUGAGACACGGCCCAGACUCCUACGGGAGGCAGCAGUGGGGAAUUUUGGACAAUGGGCGCAAGCCUGAUCCAGCAAUGCCGCGUGCAGGAAGAAGGCCUUCGGGUUGUAAACUGCUUUUGUACGGAACGAAACGGUCUGGGUUAAUACCUCGGGCUAAUGACGGUACCGUAAGAAUAAGCACCGGCUAACUACGUGCCAGCCGCCGCGGUAACAC
rnacentral:rRNA from 1 species